GACGAACGCUGGCGGCGUGCUUAACACAUGCAAGUCGAACGAGAUCCAUGGAGUAGCAAUACUCCGGAAGAUCUAGUGGCGAACGGGUGAGUAACACGUGAGCAACCUGCCCCAAAGACUGGGAUAACCCCGGGAAACCGGAGCUAAUACCGGAUGUCCUCGUCGGAUCGCAUGAUCUGAUGAGGAAAUGAAUUUCGCUUUGGGGAGGGGCUCGCGGGAUAUCAGCUUGUUGGUGGGGUAAUGGCCUACCAAGGCUUCGACGUCUAGCUGGUCUGAGAGGACGAUCAGCCACACUGGGACUGAGACACGGCCCAGACUCCUACGGGAGGCAGCAGUGGGGAAUCUUGCCCAAU
rnacentral:rRNA from 1 species